UUGUAUAUAGUGAAAGUUAUUUUCUGAGGAGGUUUCUCCUUUGUCAGGGGCAGGAAGCAACUCAAUUAUUAGAGUUGUAUCAGUCUAAACUGGAUCUUGCAAGGAAAAUGAAGAAUGGAAAGGUUUGAAGGUUGGGAAUGACAUAUCUAGCAUGCAAAGAGCUUCAUAUUACACUAGGAUCUCUCCAUUUGAAUUUAGCCCCAAGUUUUAAAGCUUAUCUGAGAAGGCGUUUUGGAGUAAGAAUCAUGUAUAGAGACAUUGUUUUACCUUUCGUUGGAUUAUAGAACCCUUCAUCAGUAGGCUUUCGUGGGCCAUAUUUUCCAUUUGACCUUCUUCGUCACUAGUGCUGCAUUAAAACCAUCCUUUUCCAAAUCAGAAUUCUGGUUUAUGAUUA